rnacentral:rRNA from 1 species
CCUACGGGGGGCAGCAGUGGGGAAUAUUGGACAAUGGGCGAAAGCCUGAUCCAGCAACGCCGCGUGAGGGAUGACGGCCUUCGGGUUGUAAACCUCUUUCAGCAGGGACGAAGCGCAAGUGACGGUACCUGCAGAAGAAGCACCGGCCAACUACGUGCCAGCAGCCGCGGUAUACGUAGGGUGCGAGCGUUGUCCGGAAUUAUUGGGCGUAAAGGGCUCGUAGGCGGUUUGUCACGUCGGGAGUGAAAACUCGGGGCUUAACCCCGAGCCUGCUUCCGAUACGGGCUGACUAGAGGUAUGCAGGGGAGAACGGAAUUCCUGGUGUAGCGGUGAAAUGCGCAGAUAUCAGGAGGAACACCGGUGGCGAAGGCGGUUCUCUGGGCAUUACCUGACGCUGAGGAGCGAAAGUGUGGGGAGCGAACAGGAUUAGAUACCCUCGUAGUC